UCCUCGAUGUGUUCGAUGAGCUCCGCCAGGGUUGGGAAGUGAAGCCCGCAGCCCCCGAAGCGGCAGGUAACUAUUUUCAAAUGUUGCAGUAUGAAGCAAGGAAAGGAACCACUGCGUAAUGGCGGCAGAAGAAAUGAAGAGUUUAAAGAACCAGCAGGAAUUGAUAACAGCUUUGAUGUGUUGGAUUUCAACUCCCAGGAUUUCCAGUCAACAUUGCUUUUGGAUGGCAUAAAUUUGGAUGAGGCUGAUCUACACAAAAGUAUGCUUCAUGUUUGUGUUAUAUAACAAUUAUAUUAGACAGGCCACUAGCAUAAUUUUUUUUUAAAUAUUAUCUUCAACACCUAUGAAUGAAUCCAGAAGUUACAAGUUACAUUCAAGCAACUAUAUUAUUACCAUCCUGCCCAAUAGAAACACCAUCUCUCCCAAGCUAUAAAUUUCAAUGGCUGAUGAAAGAGGCAAACUUUUUUGGGCUAAAGAGAUUUCUAUUAGACAAGCUGAUAGAAUGAGCUACAGCUCUCUUUGAUACUGUUAUCGGGUGCUGAAACAACAUUCUGAUCAUGAAUGCAGAGCUGCUCAUGGAGCUAUUCCUGAUGAACUUCCUGUCUGGUUUGACUUACUUGGAUUUAUCUUGCUUUAAUGCAGUGUUUCUCAACCUUGGCAACUUGAAGAUGUGUGAACUUCAACUCCCAGAAUUCCCCACCCAACACUGCUUUAUUGGAUACUGCUUCUCAAACAAGCAGUAUCCUGCUUGCUGAAGCCUGAAUACUUGUUCAACCAGAAUUCACCUAUCACGAUCUCUUUAUAGAGCAGAAUACCAGAGCCACCAAAGUCAUCACACAAGGCCUUGUCUCAAUAUUUUCAGAUACUAAUUGUUAUACCACCAUAUUUUCAGGUACUAAUUGUUACAGUUUGGAACAGCACCUUUGCAAGGACUGGCUUCCUGAUCAUAGAACUUUCCCCUUGUUGUUUCCUUGGCUCCCGUGUUAUAGUUGUGUUCUAGUAGCCCUUUGUCCAUGAAUGAUGUUUUCUUCUUGUUUUGACCUCUGAAUACUGGCUUAUUGUUAUAUUAUUAAUAGUAAUUAAUUGCAGUAAUUAUUUCACUUAAAUGAAAUAAAACCAAAUGGAGCAUU